rnacentral:rRNA from 1 species
CUCUUCGGGGAUGAUUAAACCGGCGCACGGGUGAGUAACACGUGAGUGACCUGCCUUUUAGACUGGAACAACUUACCGAAAGGUGAGCUAAUGCCGGAUGAGUUAUAUAAGUGCAUGUUUAUAUAGGAAAAGUUGGGGAGACCUGACGCUGAAAGAUGGACUCGCGUCCCAUUAGCUAGUUGGUAGGGUAAUGGCCUACCAAGGCGACGAUGGGUAGCCGGCCUGAGAGGGUGGCCGGCCACACUGGGACUGAGACACGGCCCAGACUCCUACGGGAGGCAGCAGUGGGGAAUUUUGCGCAAUGCUCGUAAGAGUGACGCAGCGACGCCGCGUGAAUGACGAAGGCCUUCGGGUCGUAAAGUUCUUUCGACAGGGAAGAAAAUGCCUAUAAGUAACUGUGUAUGUAUUGACGGUACCUGUAUAAGCAGCCCCGGCUAACUCCGUGCCAGCAGCCGCGGUAAUACGGAGGGGGCGAGCGUUGUUCGGAGUGACUGGGCGUAAAGAGCACGUAGGCGGUGUUGUAAGUCAUUAGUCAAAGACUAGAGCUCAACUUUAGUAAGGCUAGUGAUACUAUAAUACUAGAGUAUCAGAGAGGAUUGCAGAAUUCCUGGUGUAGCGGUGAAAUGCGUAGAUAUCAGGAGGAAUACCGUUAGCGAAGGCGGCAAUCUGGCUGGAAACUGACGCUGAGGUGCGAAAGCGUGGGUAGCAAACAGGAUUAGAUACCCUGGUAGUCCACGCUGUA